rnacentral:rRNA from 1 species
GUUCCAGCCGCCGCGGUAAUACGGGGGGGGCAAGCGUUGUUCGGAAUUACUGGGCGUAAAGGGUUUGUAGGUGGCUCGCUAAGUCAGACGUGAAAUCCCUCAGCUUAACUGGGGAACUGCGUCUGAGACUGGCAAGCUUGAGUGCAGGAGAGGAACGCGGAAUUCCAGGUGUAGCGGUGAAAUGCGUAGAUAUCUGGAGGAACACCGGUGGCGAAGGCGGCGUUCUGGACUGCAACUGACACUGAAAAACGAAAGCCAGGGGAGCAAACGGGAUUAGAAACCCGUGUAGUCC